UACGUAGGGGGCCAGCGUUGUCCGGAAUCAUUGGGCGUAAAGCGCGCGUAGGCGGCCAGAUAAGUUCGGUGUGAAAGUCAAAGGCUCAACCUUUGAAUGCCGCUGGAAACUGCCUGGCUUGAGUCCGGAAGGGGCGAGUGGAAUUCCUGGUGUAGCGGUGAAAUGCGCAGAUAUCGGGAAGAACACCCGUGGCGAAGGCGGCUCUCUGGGACGGUACUGACGCUGAGACGCGAAAGCGUGGGGAGCGAACAGG
rnacentral:rRNA from 1 species